ACUGUGCUUGUAUUAUUGAAAAGGACAACAGUAUCAAGCCCCAUAGAGGAACGAUUUUAAUUCUGCCCUGAGCAGCGGGGAUUGAUGCAGCUAUCAAAGAACGGAGCUAUCCAAGCUCGCCAGGAAACGCCGAACAAUAAAGACUUGUGCGGGGCUCCGUUCGUGCGUUCAGAAACAAACGAACGACUGUUCCAGAGUUCAACGCAUUAGUUUUGACUCGGAUUCCGGGCCAACGCAGCUUGGAUCAUCAACUGGUUGUCAUGCAUCGUGAAUACAAAAUCGGCAACACCUUACAAAGGAAAGAGAAGAGGGGCUGAAAUAUUGAAGAAAAUCUAAAAGACCUGGGAUUCUGGAAGAAAACAUCCCCUAGGGUGGAAACUGAAGCUCUCAACACAUUAAUCUGAUUUAAGGACCAGUAAUACCUGGCUUUGGACCAUUGUAACGCCCCUGACUUUGCAACACGAUCUCCGAGAGCCCACAAUGACGGCCAACUCAUGCAACCCCACAAUCUGCCAAUCCCAUUGAGACUUUCUGGAGACUUUAAUGAAUCACCUCUGACCAUUUUUGGGAAGAGACUUUCCUCUUUUAUCCCCUCUUGUGCUUGGUCCUUGUUCAAGCCUCACUCAUCUUAUUCGGCAAUUCUGAGCGGCAUAUACCGCCUCCCGUUGGGAAUUCUUGACCUGACUUCAUCUUCGGAAGGUGGUGGAUGACAAAGACACCGAAAUGGACGACGCACAGAAACAAAACCCUUGUGCAGAUGGUGGAAGGCAAGAUAUCAAUUCUAAAUCUGUGAUAUGGAUGUAGGGUCCGGUAAUUAAUUAUUGACAUUGUGAAGAAAAUGAAGAAUGUAUCAACUGAUUGGCAGUGACAAUGAUGGAGUGGACAAAGACUUUCCAACAAAAGAGGCAUUCUGAUUCCAACGUCAAAAACUAGAAUUAUUCAGGAUGCUUGUCUAGGCCUACAAUAUUUAGAAAAAAUAUGCAGUAAGGCCAAAAAAUAAAAGU